CCUCCCCCUCCCCCCCUGCCCCUCCCCCCGGCUGAGAGUCUGGGACUUUCCUCCUAGACGUCUUAUGAUCAGAAUUUUUUCCGCUUGGCCGCCUCUGGACUUCACUGGAUAAAAGCCCAGAUGAACUAGUUACAAGCCUGCAUUGCCAGGAAUUGCGUGUCUCACUCGCUCCGGCCCUCCUGCCUUCACCACUCCCACCUGUGAUUAGAAUCCAGGCGCCGAGAAAGCUUCUCCAGAUAUCUCCGCUAGCUCCUCUGGAACUCGUAGUUUUCACCCUCAUCCGCUUACCAGGCAAAAAUGUGGCUCAAAAACUACCGCUCCCGGCAUGCACAGCACCAAACAUUUGCACCUUGUUGAGCACUCUACAUACCGUGAGAGCCCCGCCUACUUUCAUUCCUGGAAGGAUGAAUAUGCCAGUGAAUGUUAACUAGCACAUUUAAGGGAAUGCCAACCCAACUUGCACAGAUUUUGCAUUCAUACUUUGAUGUCCAGCACAGGAUGUCUACUAUCGCCUGGUUCGUUUGACAUGACCUUACGGUGAAGGACAAGUAAAUCAUCAUCCUUAUCAAUCUUCAGUUAAAAGGAUCAAGCAGCAGGAUGUGAAAGAUCUCUGCCUGAUACAUUAUAGAGCCACUACUAGUCAGAGUAGAUAGUACUAGGCCUGAUGAA